GGGUGUGGCAGCGCGGCUCUGAGCGCCUCGCGGGGCUGAGUUCCCCACCGGGCUGCUGAGCUGCCCGAGGGCGCUGAGCUCCGUGCGCUCUUGAGCAGCACUGGCGCGGGAGCUGCCCGUCGCUUUGUGGGCGCUCACAGCUGCGGUGUGAUCGAGAAACGGGCAGGGCAUGGCCUGCUGGGGAGGGGAGGAUGUCCCUGCUAUUUCUCCUUAGGGUUUGCACUGGGAGUUGUAGAAGAGCCGUGCUGGCCUGACCGUAGCAAGGUGUCACCAGGACUAUGCUUGCAUCUGUGUUCGUUGUCGCUACGUAUCUUGUGGUCCAUGCAGUAUUAUGUUGUGCAUUGCAUCAGUUGGAAUCACAAAAUGCAGAGAACGGUCAGCAUGCGUAUUUCUAACUGGGACCCAUGCAGCUCACUCCUCGACCUGCUAUUGCUACUACUGCUAGCAUUUCAUCAGUAGCAGUACAGAUUUCUUUUUUCAGAGGUGCACUUUAGUAGAGUUGCCUUUUAGGCUAUUCCCAGCAGAUUUGAAGUGGCUCAUAUAUGUGGUUAUAGUGCAGGAUGCAGUUCAGUAGUUCUGUUUAUAUUCUGGAUGUAUGCACUUUCUCCGGGGAUAUCAAGACUUCCCUCCAGGGCUCUUUUAUGCAAACUGCUUGUUAUUUUGUUGAUCGUCCUAUCUCUGCAGUGAGGAGAUGAUGUUUGGAUUUCAUUGCAGUUAAGGCUCACGGGCAGUGCUGUCCUAUCCUGCUGAUACUUCAGGUCCUGCAAUGUUCCCAAUUCUACAAGCAUCCUGAGAACGAUGAUGAAAAAAAAUGCUUGGCAGCAAGUUAGGGAAUGGCCACUCAACGCUGCAUCCAGCUGUCCCAGGAAGAUUUUUCCAGUCCCAUGUUUCUAUAUCCAUAACAAUCUUCUGUGCAAGCUCUGUCAGAGACACUGAAACAUGAACUAGGCAUCAGACACAUAAAGCUGAGAGGGAGUGGGACUGGGAGGUUAGUUUCCUGCCCUUGGUACAAGGCCCUGCAUGCAUACUCCAUGAGGAGAGGCUCUAUAUUGGAGUUCUGUGAUGCAGGAAAAGAAUGUGGUGCACAGUAAUUCUUGGGCCUCCAUGUCCAAACUCAAGCUGCCAUAGGUAUGAAAUCCUGUAAUCACUCAAUUUCAUCAGGCUCUGGAAUUUUUGCUCCUAUGUCUUUCUUACUCUGAGAAGAUGUUUUGGAGCCUGAGUGCUGUAAUAGCUAGCAGUAUCCCGAAUUCUUGUUGCAUGUAAAAUAGCCAGUUUAUAUCUAUCUGUUCUUGGUUCACAAUCAGUCUUAAUCUGAAAUGAUUCCUUUACCUGUCCGGCACUGACUCUAAGCGCACAAGCGGACAGAUUUAUCCCUGCCCUGUUUUGCCAGACUAAGCCUAGCUAAACAAGCUCUGUUGGUGGGAAGUGUAAGGCUUUUCAAUGCACACUGAGAGGGCGUGCUGCCAUAGCACUUGCACUUCCUCAGGUUUGGACGCCUUUGCGGGCCGAUGCAGGAGAGGGAUGCCUUGUCCUGAUGUGCACGGGUAACUUUUCCGUGCCCGAUCUCUCCUCCCACUCCUCCGAGGAUUCCUCUGGGGCUUUGCAGACAUUCAAAGCCUGUGAGGAAUGCACUCCUCACCCCACAUAACAGAAAACACACAGCAGAGCAGCACAGGCAUCUCAGGGCCCCAUGCUGCUCCCACCCCCAACUGGGCAGGCAGUCUGAGGAGAGAGGAGCACAUAAUGAGAAGCAUUUGCUGCCACAGCUAUCUAUAGUCUUUUGUUUAGGAGCAGGCAAGGCGUGGCCUUUGCUUCCUGACCUCAGAGAUGACGGCAGAGAACCCCGAUGAGAAACAGGGAGUCUCCAGAGCGAGGCGCCCGGCUGCUCAGCACGGAGUUUGGGACACCGGAGUCCCCGAGAGGCUCAGUGAGUGGUGCUUCCUCCCGCCGGAGGGUGCACCGUACCCAGUGCCAGAGCCUUCAGUUCAAGAAUGACAGAAAGAAGUUUAGAAGAUACCAAAAGAUGUUGAUCCCACUGAUGAUAGAAGAGCAGAAAUAGAGAUCUUGGACCAAAGGAUCGUGGGGAAUUACCUACAACUGAUGGUGAUAAAAUGAAAAUGGCAUGUUUUGUGAAAUUCUUGGACACUUCAUACAGUAUCAGCCCUAGGCAAAAUGGGAAGGGUUGUUGUUGCACACUGUGAGAGGGAGUGAUGAUUGUCAUUAACUACACAAGCACUGUACAUUUCUGAGCAAGAUAAUAAUACGUCUAUUUAUAAUACCAGUGGAAAUACAAUUUUAUGAGAUUUGCUUACCUGUUUUAUUCCUUGCAGUACUGUGGUCUUUUAAAGUCUCCUUUCUAAUAGAUUACAACUUCAUGAAGUUAUAUUGUCAAUUCUGUGUUGAAGGACAAAAGCCUGAUCUUAGGCAGAGCUAUGGUCAUGUCUUUCUUUAAAAAUACCCAGGCUGUCUGAAAAAUGCCUUUAAUGAAGCCUUCUUGCAGGAAGAUGCUUUUCUACUUCAAAUCAAGUUAUACUGACCCCCACUCUGGCAUUCGUCUCCUUGGUGGGAAGUGCUCCUCAUCUCCUUACCCACCAUUAGAGUCCCUGUACUAAGGAAAAAAAAGCUGGUGCUUUUUCUCAUUUUACGUAAUACAUUACUGAACAUAUAUGUUGUACUUACAUUCAGUGAUUGGCAUUUUAUGAAUAAACACCCAUGAUACUCUGGUACACCAAUUACACCAUUUUAUGCUGCAUUCCACUUAUGUUGGUGUUAUUCAAAGACCUUAUCGCAUCUUCUCAGUUUGCUUUCUCUCUCUAAACAACUCAAACUCAUUUAUUGUCUAGUGUUGGGUUUUUCAAAGACAAAUGAGCAACACUGGAUUCUGUAACUUACGAUUAGGGAAGUUUCUGCCUCUCUUUAAGGUCCUGAUGCAUGGAGAUGCUGUUCUUCUAGCCACUUCAACCUACAGCCCUAAGCAUCUCCGAGCUCCCUCUGUGCACUAGAUAGAAGGACUCUGCCUUGUGCUUCUCUCCAAAUGCAAUAAUUAAACAUGGCCUGUUUCAUAGUUUCUUCAGUGACUUAAAGGCCUGCAAAAUCUGUUAUAUUGUUUUCUCCUCAAAUGUGUGUCUCAAUUCUCCACCAGUAGAGUGGUGAAAAGAUCAAAUUUUAUAUCUUCAAGGUAGAGUGUGUGAAAAAAAGGAAUUUUGGCACCUCAGAGAUAGAUAAGGGAUUUUUAUAAAGCAUUUGGCAGUAGUGCAUGAAGAGCUGGAUAAACACUGGGCAGUAAUUCAUAAACUUUUGGUUUAAAAUCUCUUGCUGUAUGUAACAGUGGGUAAUUGUCAUCCAGUAGGGCUGUUGUUUCCAUGAGAGUCCCACAGAGCAGUUUGUGGUUACUGGCUAGUGGCUGUGUCCUGGAAAGCAGAAAUUAAAGGAUUUAUUGAUUACAUUAGAUGACCAAUAAAUCAUGAGUUCUCAGAUUUAUUAUAUAGUUAGACUAAAAUCUGUUUUGACGAGGAUAUAAAAACGGCAGUAUUGUAAACAAAAAAGGAUUGGUGCUACAUACGUGUAUUUCAUUAGAAUAAUGAUUGCUGGCGUUCUGGCAGUGCACUGGGAUGAGCACUUAAACCCGUCCUGACUGGAGUGGCUGCACAGGGAGGUGGUGGAGUCGCCGUCCUUGGAGGCGUCCAAGAGGCGCCUGGAAGAGGAGCUACGAGAUGUGGUUUAGAGCUUGUGGCAGCAGUGGUGAUGGGAGGAUGGCUGGACCAGAUGAUCUUGCAGGUCCUUUCCAACCUUGUGAUUGUAUGAUUCUGUGAUUGUAAGUAGUAAGGAGUUCUGGUUUGAGGUGUCCCCUAUAAUCAGAAUAAAGGCGAACUCUUUA